rnacentral:rRNA from 1 species
UCUGCUCAGAUUGAACGCUGGCGGCAUGCCUAACACAUGCAAGUCGAGCGGCAGCAUACCCUUCGGGGUGCUGGCGAGCGGCGGACGGGUGAGUAACGGCGUGGAAAUCUACCCUUCGGUGGGGGAUAGCCCGGAGGAAACCCGUGAUUAAUACCGCAUACGCCCUACGGGGGAAAGCGGCCCUCUGAUGCAAGGUCGCGCCGAUGGAUGAGCCCGCGUCUGAUUAGCUUGUUGGUGGGGUAACGGCCUACCAAGGCGACGAUCAGUAGCUGGUCUGAGAGGACGGUCAGCCACACUGGGACUGAGACACGGCCCAGACUCCUACGGGAGGCAGCAGUGGGGAAUAUUGGACAAUGCAGGAAACUGUGAUGGCGCAACGUCGCGUGGUGGAUGAAGCGCUUCGGCGUGUAAACACCUUUUCUGCGUGAAGAAGUUUAUUGACAUUAGCGCAGGUAACAAGGGGCUCCCAAAUUCGUGCCAGCAGGAGCGGUAACACGAAUGCCCCAAGCGUUAUCCGGAAUCACUGGGCGUAAAGGGUCCGCAGGCGGCCGUAUUAGUCCCGCGUUAAAUCGCAAUGCUCAACAUUGCGGCUGCGCUGGAAACGGUACGGCUUGAGGAUGUGAGAGGUGUGUGGAACCGACGGUGUAGGGGUGAAAUCCGUUGAUAUCGUCGGGAACACCAAAAGCGAAAGCAGCACACUGGCACAUUCCUGACGCUCAUGGACGAUAGCCAGGGUGGCGAACCGGAUUAGAUACCCGGGUAGUCCUGGCCGUAAACGCUGUUCACUAGCUUUGGGGAGUAUCGACCCUUUCCGAGGCGAAGCUAACGCGUUAAGUGAACCGCCUGGGUACUACGAGCGCAAGCUUAAAACUCAAAGGAAUAGACGGGGGCUCGCACAAGCGGUGGAGCAUGUGGUUUAAUUCGACGAUAAGCGAAGAACCUCACCGAGGCUUGACAUCUACGUGAUCGGCUUUCGAAAGAUCGCCCUCCCUUCGGGGCACGUAGACAGGUGAUGCAUGGCCGUCGUCAGUUCGUGGUUUGAGCUGUUCCCUUAAGUGGGGAAACGAACGUAACCCUCACCGUAUGUUAUAUGUGUCAUACGGUACUGCCUACCACUAAGCGCAUUUCAACGAAGUGCGUUUCGUGGUGGGAGGAAGGAGGGGAUGACGCCAGGUCAGCAUGUCCCUUUGAUGCCUCGGGCUACACACGUGCUACAAUGGUGCCUACAACGGGUAGCGAUCGCGCGAGCGUAAGCCAAUCCUUCAAAAGGCAUCUCAGUCUGGAUUGCAGUCUGCAACUCGACUGCAUGAAAUUGGAAUCGCUAGUAAUCGUGGGUCACCAAUACCACGGUGAAUUUGUUCUCGAGCCCUUGUACUCACCGCCCGUCAAGUCAAGGAAGCUGGGAGCGCCCGAAGUCCC